CAACGGUACCACCUCCAAAAAUUAAUUUAUCAAAAUAUAGUUCUCUUAACAGUUGGUUGUCAUCUUUUGGAUUGAUAGUUUAUAGUGAUAAGUUUAGAGAACACAAUUUCACUUCUAUGAAACAACUACAUAAUUUUACAUUAGAGGAUCUAAAAAAAUUGAGAAUUGGUAAGGCACAUUCAUAUAAGAUUUGGGAAGAAGUAAUUGCUUAUAAAAAAGAAACUUCAAGAUGUGGUGAUUCCGGGACAGAAUGAAAUGAACUUAUAUGAAUAAGAAGAGCUUGUAGCUUGAUUACAUUUUCAUUAUAAUUUUUUAAUUGUCUUUUUGUUGUUGAAUACUUUUCUCAAUUAUAACAAAAUAUUAAUAUUUGAUACUUUCAUAUUAUACACAAAUGUUCAUGAGAGUUUUACAUGACAGCAAAUAAUAAUUUUGUUUGUUUGAGAAAGUCUAUUAAGUACCUGAUCUACUUUAUUAACUUUUUAUAAUUUGUAAGUUUUGAUUGAAUGACAUUUUUGUUAAGACUUAUCAGUAAGAUAUUUCAUCUUAAUAUUUCCUAAAAAAGCUGUGAUAUGAAAAUAUCUUGUCUGAUACAAUAUAUAUUUUUAUAUUGUUGAAAUUAACAUAGUUUGUAAGACUUCUGAAAACUGCUACAUAAAAAAAAAUGCAUGUUCCAGGAAGUCAUUUUAUAUAUAAUGAUUUUAAAUGAAUGUUUUUGUAUGUGCAUUUUUACUUUUUA